rnacentral:lncRNA from 1 species
GCUGGCAGAGACUUCUCUGAUGAGAAAAUGAUAAGUGUUUUCAAAUGCUGUUCUGGUUAAAAGAAAGCUGAUCCAAGGACUCUACUGCAAAUCAUCUCUUUGGGGUGUUGACUGUCAAGAAAGGUAUUUUUCUGUGCCUUCCUUGCCCUGCCUCUCAGAUGACACCUGUUUCCUGGUGGCAUUUCUUCUAACUUGAGUUAGAUUCACAAUUUCUCAAGCUGCUGGAAGGAUCCUACGAUCAACUUUUCCUGGGGAGACAUGAACAAAUGCCUACUCACUCCAGAUUGGGCACCAUCAAGAAACCAAAUGAAUGACUGUACCCAAGUCUAGCUUAGUGAAGCAAUGCAUUUUUUUGCACUUGUUCCCAGGAAUAUGGAUCUUCGAUGUGAUAAGAAACACCUAAACUCAAAGUAAUUUGAAAGAAUAAACAACUUCAGUUAAAGAAGGUCCCCAAAGAAGUGUAAAGUACAAGUGUAAAACAUGUAGAGUUAGUGAGCACCUUGCAGACACACAGGAUGUACUUCUCCAAGAUGGUGCAAUGGAGCAGAAACAGCUCAUGUCCCUAAUAAGAAGCCACGAGGGACCUCAUUGCUUAUUGAAGAGUCUUGCAGCAUACUUUGUUCGUUGGUCUUUUCUUAAUGGUUGGCUAUUUCUCCUCCAAUUCAAGAACAUUAAAAUCUAACAGAACAAAGACCGUGACCACCCCAGACACACAUCCCACAACUCCAAGCUAUGUGUGUCCAGAAGAGAAACAAAACAAAAUUUAUGGCUUUUGCUCUAGUAAUUCCUGCCACCCACUGAUCUAAGUCAUUCUUGAACACGAUUAUGAGUGUUUUCAUACAUAUGUGAUGCAUUGAGUAACUGAAUGGAUCCCAUCUGGGAGAUAUAUAAAGUGGACACUGAAGUGACUCAUCAGGCAGCUGCAGAGAAUACACAGAUGAGAAUGGCAGGGAACUCCACCAUGAAGAUGCUGAGCAUCAUCCACACCAUUUCCAGAAGAUGGAAAAAGCCACAUGACUGUGGAACAGC